rnacentral:sRNA from 1 species
UCAUGGUGAAUGACAAUGAUCAUGCAGC